rnacentral:misc_RNA from 1 species
GAUGAAGAACGUAGCGAAAUGCGAUACGUAAUGUGAAUUGCAGAAUUCAGUGAAUCAUCGAGUCUUUGAACGCACAUUGCGCCUCAUGGCAUUCCGUGAGGCAUGCCCAUCUCAGCGUUAGAAAAUAUUCUCAAAUUUUAGUUUUGUGCUAAAAUUUGGAUCAUGUCAAGGAAGCUAUUACUAUUAUUGUGAUCGCUCUUUGGAAAUUGAUAGGUCUUUGAGUUGCUACUCAUAGAACGUGAUGAAUCUUUCUUCGUUCUAUUGUAAUUCACUCUGGUAGUCCUAAAACUUGUAUGCCUGUGGCAUAUCUUGUAAUUUGACCUGAGAUUGGGUAGGGAUACCCGCUGAACUUAAGCAUAUCAAUAAGCGGAGGA